rnacentral:rRNA from 1 species
AGCAUGUGGUUAAUUCGAAGCAACGCGAAGAACCUUACCAGGUCUUGACAUCCGAUGCUAUUUCUAGAGAUAGAAAGUUACUUCGGUACAUCGGUGACAGGUGGUGCAUGGUUGUCGUCAGCUCGUGUCGUGAGAUGUUGGGUUAAGUCCCGCAACGAGCGCAACCCCUAUCGUUAGUUGCCAUCAUUCAGUUGGGCACUCUAGCGAGACUGCCGGUAAUAAACCGGAGGAAGGUGGGGAUGACGUCAAAUCAUCAUGCCCCUUAUGACCUGGGCUACACACGUGCUACAAUGGUUGGUACAACGAGUUGCGAGUCGGUGACGGCGAGCUAAUCUCUUAAAGCCAAUCUCAGUUCGGAUUGUAGGCUGCAACUCGCCUACAUGAAGUCGGAAUCGCUAGUAAUCGCGGAUCAGCACGCCGCGGUCGAAUACGUUCCCGGGCCUU